rnacentral:misc_RNA from 1 species
UGGACAGUUUUCUUCGAGUAAGGAACUUAGGAACACAUCAUCCAACUGAUCGAUUGAGGUCAAGUUAUCAAGAUGAAAUUCCAGCUGCUCAGGUGGUGGAUAUGAGGACCAUUGAUCCAUGUCACAGUAUGAAGCUUGGUUAGCUGCAUUAUCAAAAGGCUCCUCGUGAAUUCCAAAGUUUUUCAUGUCAACAUCAUUAGAUAGGCCAUUCCCAAUCA